ACCUUAUAAGGCCCCUUCUUAAUGUCACUGUGUUUACAGACUGUUCCCAGAAGGAGGUUGGGAGGUUUGGGCCACUGUUUGGAGUUGGAUCAGCCAACACUGACCUUGAUACUCUUUUGCCUGAAUUAUUUACAGGAUUUAUUGAGCUCUGGCAAUUUGCACUAGUGACUUGCCCUUUGGAGAGGGGUGGCCACAAGUCCUCCGCAGAUGGUCUCACUGUGCACAAGAGGACCAGCAAGGUUUACAGAGGAUCUGAAAUGCUCAGGAGGAGACAUGAAGACCAAGAGGAUAAAUAAAUGACUUGACGGAGGUCAUAUAGAUUUUGAAGGUGUCUCCAAC
rnacentral:lncRNA from 1 species